rnacentral:rRNA from 1 species
UUGGAGGGCAAGUCUGGUGCCCGCAGCCGCGGUAAUUCCAGCUCCAAUAGCGUAUAUUAAAGUUGUUGCAGUUAAAAAGCUCGUAGUUGAAUUUCGGGACCAAUUUGUUGGUCGUGCCUCGGUACGUACUGGUAUUAUUGGUUUCUCCCUUCUGAAGAACCUUGAUGUCAUUAAUUUGGUGUCUUGGGGAAUCAGGACUGUUACUUUGAAAAAAUUAGAGUGUUUAAAGCAGGCAUACGCUUGAAUACAUUAGCAUGGAAUAAUGAAAUAGGACGUUUGAUUCUAUUUUGUUGGUUUCUAGGAUCGACGUAAUGAUUAAUAGGGAUAGUUGGGGGCAUUAGUAUUCAAUUGUCAGAGGUGAAAUUCUUGGAUUUAUUGAAGACUAACUACUGCGAAAGCAUUUGCCAAGGAUGUUUUCAUUAAUCAAGAACGAAAGUUAGGGGAUCGAAGACGAUCAGAUACCGUCGUAGUCUUAACCAUAAACUAUGCCGACUAGGGAUCGGAUGAUGUUAUUUUUAAUGACUCAUUCGGCGCCUUACGGGAAAC